GAUGAACGCUGACAGAAUGCUUAACACAUGCAAGUCGACUUGAACUUCGGUUUGGGUGGCGGACGGGUGAGUAACGCGUAAAGAACUUGCCUCACAGCUAGGGACAACAUUUGGAAACGAAUGCUAAUACCUGAUAUUAUGAUUUUAGGGCAUCCUAGAAUUAUGAAAGCUAUAUGCGCUGUGAGAGAGCUUUUCGUCCCAUUAGCUAGUUGGAGAGGUAACGGCUCACCAAGGCGAUGAUGGGUAGCCGGCCUGAGAGGGUGAAAGGCAACAAGGGGACUGAGAAACGGCCCGUACCCUUACGGGAGGAAGCAGUGGGGAAUAUUGGACAAUGGACCAAGAGUCUGAUCCAGAAAUUCUGUGUGCAAGAUGAAGUUUUUCGGAAUGUAAAGUGCUUUCAGUUGGGAAGAAAAAAAUGACGGUACCAACAGAAGAAGUGACGGCUAAAUACGUG
rnacentral:rRNA from 1 species